rnacentral:rRNA from 1 species
AGAGUUUGAUCCUGGCUCAGAACGAACGCUGGCGGCAGGCCUAACACAUGCAAGUCGAACGUGAAGCUGGAGCUUGCUCCAGUGGAAAGUGGCAGACGGGUGAGUAACGCGUGGGAACCUUCCCUGUGGUACGGAAUAACUCAGAGAAAUUUGAGCUAAUACCGUAUACGCCCUUCGGGUGAAAGAUUUAUCGCCAUAGGAUGGGCCCGCGUCGGAUUAGCUUGUUGGUGAGGUAAUGGCUCACCAAGGCCGCGAUCCGUAGCUGGUCUGAGAGGAUGAUCAGCCACACUGGGACUGAGACACGGCCCAGACUCCUACGGGAGGCAGCAGUGGGGAAUAUUGGACAAUGGGCGCAAGCCUGAUCCAGCCAUGCCGCGUGAGUGAAGAAGGCCUUAGGGUUGUAAAGCUCUUUCACUGGGGAAGAUGAUGACGGUAACCACAGAAGAAGCCCCGGCUAACUCCGUGCCAGCAGCCGCGGUAAUACGGAGGGGGCUAGCGUUGUUCGGAAUUACUGGGCGUAAAGGGCGUGUAGGCGGAUUAGCUAGUCAGAGGUGAAAGCCCCGGGCUCAACCCUGGAACUGCCCUCAAAACUGGUUCGCUAGAGUCCGGGAGAGGUGAGUGGAAUUCCCAGUGUAGAGGUGAAAUUCGUAGAUAUUGGGAAGAACACCAGUGGCGAAGGCGGCUCACUGGACCGGUACUGACGCUGAGGCGCGAAAGCGUGGGGAGCAAACAGGGUAUCUCCCCUGGUAGUCCACGCCGUAAACGAUGAGUGCUAGAUGUUGGGGGGCUUGCCCUUCGGUGUCGCAGCUAACGCGUUAAGCACUCCGCCUGGGGAGUACGGCAGCAAGGUUAAAACUCAAAGGAAUUGACGGGGGCCCGCACAAGCGGUGGAGCAUGUGGUUUAAUUCGACGCAACGCGAAGAACCUUACCAGCCCUUGACAUGCUUUGAAUUCACCAGAGAUGGAGAAGUGCCUUUCGAGGAACAUGAAAACAGGUGCUGCACGGCUGUCGUCAGCUCGUGUCGUGAGAUGUUGGGUUAAGUCCCGCAACGAGCGCAACCCUCGUCGUUAGUUGCUAACAGUUCGGCUGAGCACUCUAGCGAGACUGCCUUCGCAAGGAGGAGGAAGGUGAGGACGACGUCAAGUCAUCAUGGCCCUUAUGGCUUGGGCUACACACGUGCUACAAUGGGGCGUACAGAGAGUUGCGAUACCGCGAGGUGGAGCUAAUCUCAUAAAGCGUCUCUCAGUUCGGAUUGAUCUCUGCAACUCGAGAUCAUGAAGCUGGAAUCACUAGUAAUCGUAGAUCAGCAAUGCUACGGUGAAUACGUUCCCGGGUCUUGUACUCACCGCCCGUCACACCAUGGGAGUUGAUUUCACCCGAAAUCGGGAAGCAAACCUUCGGGAUGCUACCGCUUACGGUGGAAUUAGCGACUGGGGUGAAGUCGUAACAAGGUAACC